GGACCCUUUCCAGCCUUUCCGUGGUGGGCAGCUGCUUGACUUGGCCAUCCAUCCUGUUUCCUAUUUGCACUUGGUCCACAGCUCACAGACACACAAAGGAGAGACCCUUUUGUCAGUGUUUACGACNGCUGUUUAUAUGGCGCUAUCCCCCCUUCCCCCGGAGGGCCAGGGCUUCAACACGGAACAUUUCUUAUCUUUCUAAAGGUCAAAAGCUCAGGCUGGUUCCUGCGCCAUUCACUGGAUGCAGAGGGGAUAUAAAAACCUCCUCUGGAAGUACUCAAGGUACCCUUGCCUUCCAUGUGGCGAUAACGCAGGCUGGGAUGGGGGGAUUAUGUUCCCGCGGCGAGCAGAAGACCACGUACGUGAACAGCAAAGGUUGAAGUUCAGAAAUGCAUCCAUAAGAACACAAGAUGAACCUUCUGGAUCAGGCCAUGACCCAUCUAGUCCAGCAUCCUGUCUCAUACAGUGGCCCACCAAUUGCUUCUGGAUCUUCUCAAGCAGAAGACGAAGACAAAACCUUCACCUGCUCUUGCCUCCCUACAAAUGGCCUUUAAAGGCAUCCUGCCUGUCUCUCCAACCUGGAAGCACUACGUAGGCACCCAUUCUAGUAGCCACUGAUGCACCUGUCCCCCAUGAAUUUGCCUAACCCUUUCUUAAAGCUAUCCAGCCU
rnacentral:lncRNA from 1 species